ACUAGGUCCUAUACCAAUAAUUCUAUGGAGUAGAGCCCAACUCAUUCAAACUUUUCUUAUUUGAAGUGCUACUAAUUGUUUAUUUCUUUCUCUCCUAUUAUCGUCAGUUGAUCUCUUACCACAAUUACAAUUUAUCCACGUAUAGGUUUUAUUUUCUUUUCAGAAAAUUCAUUGAAUCAAUGGAAUCAUCUUCUGCUUCUGCGAGUACUUCACAGUUUUUUCGAUGGAACUACGAUGUUUUUCUAAGUUUUAGAGGUGUAGAUACACGGAAAUCAUUUACGAGUCACCUGGGCGAAAACUUGAAUAUGAGGGGAAUAAAAACCUUUCAAGAUGAUAAAAGUCUAGAGCAUGGCGCAUCCAUCCCAGAUGAACUCUGUAAAGCUAUCGAGGAGUCUCAAUGUGCACUCAUCAUUUUCUCAAAGAAUUAUGCAACAUCGAGGUGGUGCUUGAAUGAACUAGUGAAAAUCAUGGAUUGCAAGUCCCAGUUUGGACAAACUGUCAUACCGGUCUUCUAUGAUGUGGAUCCAUCACAUGUUCGGAAUCAGAGGGAGAGCUUUGCUGAAGCAUUUGCCAAACAUGAAACAAAGUAUAAGGAUAAUGUCGAGGGAAUGCAAAGAUGGAGGAUUGCUUUAACUGCAGCGGCCAAUCUCAAAGGCUGUGAUAUUCGUGACAAGACUGAAGCAGACUGUAUUCGACAGAUUGUUGACCAAAUCUCCUCCAAAUUAUGCAAGAUUUCUUUAUCUUAUUUGCAUAACAUUGUUGGAAUAAAUACCCAUUUAGAGGAAAUAGAAUCCCUACUAAGGAUAGGAAUCAAUGAUGUUCGGAUUGUGGGGAUCUGGGGCAUGGGGGGAGUGGGUAAAACGACAAUAGCUAGAGCUAUGUUUGAUACUCUUUUAGGAAGAAAGGAUAGUUCCUAUCAAUUUGAUGGUGCUUGUUUCCUUAAGGAUAUUAAAGAAAACAAACGUGGAAUGCAUUCUCUUCAAAAUACCCUUCUCUCUCAACUUUUAAGGGAAAAUGCUAAUUACAAUAAUGAGGAUGACGGAAAGCACCAAAUGGCUAGUAGACUUCGUUCUAAGAAAGUCCUAAUUGUGCUUGAUGACAUAGAUGAUAAAGAUCAUUAUUUAGAGCAUUUAGCAGGUGAUCUUGAUUGGUUUGGUAAUGGCAGUAGAAUUAUUGUAACAACUAGAGACAAGCAUUUGAUUGGGAAGAAUGAUGUAAUAUAUGAAGUGACUGCACUACCUGAUCAUGAAUCAAUUCAAUUGUUCUACCAGUAUGCUUUCAAAAAAGAGGUUCCAGAUGAGUAUUUUAAGAAGCUUUCAUUGGAGGUCAUAAAUCAUGCUAAAGGCCUUCCUUUAGCCCUCAAAGUGUGGGGUUCUUCCUUACAUAAGAUGGAUAUAACUGUGUGGAAAAGUGCUAUAGAGCAAAUGAAGAAUAAUCCUAAUUCAAAAAUUGUUCAAAAACUCAAAAUUAGUUAUGAUGGAUUAGAGUCCAUGCAACAAGAGAUUUUUCUGGAUAUAGCAUGCUUCUUACGCGGGGAAGAAAAAGAUUACAUCAUGCAAGUUCUCAAGAGUUGUUAUUUUGGAGUUGAAUAUGGAUUGGAUGUCCUAAUCAGAAAAUCUCUUGUGUUCAUCACUGAAGAUGGUAAAAUUGAUAUGCAUGACCUAAUACAAGAAAUGGGUAGAUAUAUAGUGAACUUUUCAAAGGAUCCGGGAGAACGCAACAGACUAUGGCUCGCCAAGGAUUUUGAAGACGUGAUGAUCAAUAAUACGGGUACCAUGGCAGUGGAAGCAAUUUGGGUUUGUGAGGCCAUGAAUUGGGAUACAAUUCGUACACUACACUUAGGCAAUGAGGCUAUGAAAAAUAUGAAAAGGCUUAGGAUAUUAACCAUAAUGAGGUUGUGGUCCUUUGAUGGCUCCAUUGAGUAUCUGCCCAACAGCUUGCGUUGGUUUGUCUUUGGUGGCUAUCCUUGGGAGUCAUUCCCAGCUGAAUUUGAACCCAAAAAGCUUGUUCACCUUGCACUCACAUCCAGUUCACUGUGUUAUUUAUGGACGGGAACAAAGGAUUUGCCGUCUCUACGGAGGAUAGAUCUCAUGCGGUCUAAAAGACUGAUGCAAACACCAGAUUUCACGGGGAUGCCAAAUUUGGAGUAUGUGAAUUUUUAUAAAUGUAGUAAUCUUGAAGAGGUUCACCAUUCCAUGGGAUGUUGCAGAAAACUCAUUCGGUUAAGUUUGGGUUAUUGUAAAAGCCUUAAGAGGUUUCCAUGUGUUAACGUGGAAUCUCUUGAAUCUCUCAGUUUAGGAUAUUGCUCAAGUUUAGAGAAAUUUCCAGAAAUCCACGGGAGAAUGAAGCCGGAGAUACAGAUUCACAUGCUAGGCUCUGGGAUAAGGGAACUACCAUCCUCAUAUUUUCAGUACCAAACUCAUAUUACCGACCUACAUUUGAGCUUUAUGAAAAACCUUGUUGCUCUUCCAAGCAGCAUCUGUAGGUUGAAAAGUUUGGUUAGUCUAAAUGUGUGGGGUUGCCAAAAACUGGAAAGUUUGCCAGAAGAGAUAGGGGAUUUAGACAACUUGGAGGAGCUUUAUGCCCGCUGUACUCUAAUUUCACGACCUCCGUCUUCCAUCGUACACUUGAACAAACUUAAAAUCUUGAAGUUUGGAGGCUUCAAAGAUGGAGUGUACUUUGAGUUCCCUGCGGUGGCUGCAGGAUUACGAUCAUUGGAAGAUUUGGAUCUCAGUGAGUGCAAUCUAAUAGAUGGAGGACUUCCGGAAGAUGUUGGAUCCUUAUCCUCUUUGAAAGAGUUGGAUCUCAGUAGAAAUAAUUUUGAGCAUUUGCCUCGAAGCAUAGCCCAACUUGGUGCUCUUCAAUCCUUAAACUUAUCAAAUUGCGAGAGGCUUACACAGCUACCAGAACUUCCCCCUGAAUUAAAUUUAUUGCAUGUAGAUUGUCAUAUGGCUCUGAAAUUUAUCAAUUAUUUAGUAACAAAGAGAAAGAAACUACAGAGAGUGAUAUUCCCUUAUGAUGAGGAUGAUGAGGAUGAUGCACACAAUGAUACUAAAUAUAAUUUGUUUGCACAUGCCCUGUUUCAUAAUAUCUCUUCCUUGAGGCAUGACAUCUCUGCUUCAGAUACCUUGUCCGAAAAUGUGUUUACCAUUUGGAAUCCUAAGAAGAAGAUCCCAAGUUGGUUCCUCCUUCAGGGAACGAAUAGUAGUGUAUCGGUCAAUUUGCCUGAAAAUUGGUAUAUACCUGAUAAAUUUUUGGGAUUUGCUGUAUGUUACUGUGGCAGCUUAAUUGACACCACAGCUCAAUUGAUUCCCGAAUGUGAUGAUGGGAUGUCGUGCAUGACCCAGAAACUUGCCUUAUCAGAAUGUGAUACAGAAUCAUCCGACGACUCAGAACGGUAUACACCAAUUCAUUUUUUCUUGGUACCUCUUGCAGUCUUAUGGGAUACAUCUAAGGCAAAUGGCAAAACACCAAAUGACUAUGAGAUUAUUAGGAUAUCUUUUUCUGGAGAAAUGAAGGACUAUGGACUUCGUUUGUUGUAUAAAGAAGAAGCUGAUGAUGAGGCCUUGUCACAAAUGAGGGAAAAUAACAAUGAAACAACAGAACAUUCCACUGGGAUAAGGAGUAGCAGAUCUGACCAUAGUGAACACCAUGACUCCGUGACCGAUGAAUCCAGUUGCUGCUGUCACAUACUGUAAUAACAUUAGAAACAAAGGUCACACUCUAAUGAAAGUAACUUGCAAGUUUUGAAGCGCUUUGCUCUAAAGUCGGUGGCAUUGCCUAUGAAGAGCAUAUGUUUCCUUUGUUUGUAGCAGAACAACUGGACUCUUGGCCUGAGAAAGAGAUUCGCGAGAGAACUUACUUGGGUAAAAACCAAUUGCAGAUGAAUGUUGGCGAAGCAAGAAAGCUGUGCCAAAAAUGGAUGGAUGAAAGAAGCCUUGGAACUGUUCUUCCUUUGGGAUGUAGAGCUCAACUAGUCUUGUAUUCUCUUCAUCAGAAACUGAUGUUCACCUAAAAUAUUGUGUUUUCUUUUUUCAUAAAAAAUUCCUGAAAAGGAAAAAUCUGUUUCAUUUGGAACAUCAAUCACAGAAGUACAUGCAUGUUAAGCUU